GACGAACGCUGGCGGCGUGCUUAACACAUGCAAGUCGAACGGUAAGGCCCUUCGGGGUACACGAGUGGCGAACGGGUGAGUAACACGUGGGUGAUCUGCCCUGCACUUCGGGAUAAGCCUGGGAAACUGGGUCUAAUACCGGAUAGGACUCCGGACUGCAUGGUCUGGGGUGGAAAGCUUUUGCGGUGUGGGAUGGGCCCGCGGCCUAUCAGCGUGUUGGUGGGGUGAUGGCCUACCAAGGCGACGACGGGUAGCCGGCCUGAGAGGGUGACCGGCCACACUGGGACUGAGAUACGGCCCAGAAUCCUACGGGAGGCAGCAGUGGGGAAUAUUGCACAAUGGGCGCAAGCCUGAUGCAGCGACGCCGCGUGAGGGAUGACGGCCUUCGGGUUGUAAACCUCUUUCAGCAUCGACGAAGGGAAAGUGACGGUAGGUGCAGAAGAAGGACCGGCCAACUACGUGCCAGCCGCCGCCGUAA
rnacentral:rRNA from 1 species